rnacentral:lncRNA from 1 species
ACUUUAUUCUUUAUGAGUUAGCAUAAAAAAUACAGUAUAAUACUUUAUUUAUAUACGUACUGUUUCUUUAAUUAUCAGGGUUGCACCCAGGUUGCCAAAUAUGGGCACAGGAUGCAGACUGCAGUAUCACUCAUGACUUCAGUGGUCUAUCUGUGUCAAGAGAAAAACAUCUGUCUUUAUCAGAUCAGCAGAGCAUCGACUACAUCUCCGCUGCUGUUUUCUACUGAAUCUGGAGCAGUUUGUGUUUCUGCAGCUGGUGAAAAGCUUCAAGCACAGCAGAGAAAUCUCACCAUGGAUUAUGAUCAGUACUCUGACCAAUACAUUCAAGAACAUGACAUUGGGUCUGAAAGUCCUCAACGUCUGCCAAUCAGAGAGGUCAUCUUCCUUUUCUUUGCUGAGUGUUCUGGUUGGGCAGCUCUGUUUUG